AGCAGCCGCGGUAAUUCCAGCUCCAAUAGCGUAUAUUAAAGUUGUUGCAGUUAAAAAGCUCGUAGUUGAAUUUCGGGAUUGACGUGAUGGUCGUGCCUUAAGGGGUAUGAACUGUCGCUGUUGAUUUCUCACCUUCUGGAGAAACUUGAUGUCCUUAAUUGGGUGUCUUGCGGAUCCAGGACCUUUACCUUGAAAAAUUAGAGUGUUUAAAGCAGGCAUUUUUGCUCGAAUACAUUAGCAUGGAAUAAUAGAAUAGGACGGCAUGGUUCUAUUUUGUUGGUUUCUAGGAUCACCGUAAUGAUUAAUAGGGAUAGUUGGGGGCAUUAGUAUUCAAUUGUCAGAGGUGAAAUUCUUGGAUUUAUUGAAGACUAACUACUGCGAAAGCAUUUGCCAAGGAUGUUUUCAUUAAUCAAGAACGAAAGUUAGGGGAUCGAAGACGAUCAGAUACCGUCGUAGUCUUAACCAUAAACUAUGCCGACUAGGAAUCAGACGAUGUUAAUUUUUAAU
rnacentral:rRNA from 1 species